rfam:Gordonibacter pamelaeae 7-10-1-b draft genome.
GCCUUGGUCGGAAACCAAGGCCUGUCUAAGGAG